AGGAUCGCGCGCGCGUCGCAGUCGCUCCACGAAUUUCAACACCGCGUGCAGCGACUUUUUCGUGCGUCGAUUGUACGGUGACACAGACACAUCGCAACAAAACUCGAGCACGUGCUCUUCUUCAGACGGCGUUAAACCAGCUUCCUCUAAAACGGCCAUCCGCUUUGUUUUUCCAAGUAUAUUAUCGUACAGCGUACCCUUUGGUAUGCCGUACUUUUGUGACGCUUGCGUGAAGCGCAUUUUUUGCUUUACAACGGCUUCGAUGGCUUCCUUGAGCUGAUCCUGCGUCCAUGUCGGUGUUUUUAACUUUAAUAGAGGAUAUUCUAAUAACAAAAGGUGAAAACAAAAUAAAACACAAACCAAAGAUGGAAACAAAUGAAAAUCAUAAAUUACAAAAUAAAAACAAUUGAAGAAAAACAAAGCACGUCGAAAGAGUAAUAAUAAAUUAAGAACCAAUCGUAAUCCCGAAAAGGCGAAGGAAGCGAGGAGAAAGAACAAAAGGAGACGUCGAGAACGGCGGGACGCCACGGCACCGGCUUCAUAGGUGGGCUUCGGCGGCCAUGUUAAUUGGUGUAACAACCAGAGAGGAGCGAAUACGAUCAGAUCAACUUGCUACUUCUUUCUCGGACGGUUCGGAACGGCUUAAAAUCGAUAUAAAAGUAAAUUCCAUCGUGCAUUCAAUGUACUCCAUCACACAAUGUAAAGUCGCAAGUAUUGUGACAGGUUAUAAGUUAUUUUAUUUAAAAAAUUCAUUUUUAAUCUUAUUACCAUGCUGCAUUUUUAAGUAUUCGAAUGCGAAAAGAAAAUAAGUUGCACGAUUAGCAUCAAAACAAUCGCAUACACGCACGUAUAUUAUUCAGUUAUUCAGCAACAAUCUAUGAAUAAAAGAAGCAAGCGUA